CCACCUUUAACAUUUCCCAUUAAAAUUCCACAUGAGUUUUGGUAGAGACACAGAGCCAAAACAUAUUAUUCUGUCCCUGGUCCCCCAAAGUUCAUGUCUUUCUCACAUUGCAAAAUGCAAUGAUGCCUUCCCUACAGUCCCCCAAGUCUUAACUCAUCCCAGCAUUUACUCAAAUAUCCAAAGCCCAAAGUCUCUUCUGAGACAAGGCUGCCAUAUCUUUUGCCCCGAGCCUCUGAAAUACAAAGCAAGUUAACCACUUCCAAGGUACAAUGGUUGUACAGGUAUUGGGUAAGCAUUCCCAGCCAAAAAGAAGAAAUUUGCCAGAAAGAAGCACAAAACACAGAUGGGACUUAGAAACUCCCUGCAAGUCAAACACCCAGCAGGCCAGUCAUUCCAUCAUAUAGCUCCAAAUCAUCUUUUUGGAAUCUAUGUCCACAUCCAGAGCACAGGGUGGUGUGACAGCUGGGAUCCCAAGGCCUUGGGCAGCUCUGCCCCUGUGGCAUUGCAGAAUCUUUCCCCCACAGCUGCCCUCAU
rnacentral:lncRNA from 10 species